UCCCAAUCUCCACUUCUCCCCGGCACCUGAGCGUAAAACCCUAGCUCGCUUCCCCAGUUCCCCCCAUGGCGCGGAAGAAGCGAAAGGUGGAUCCGGCCCAGUCCGCCGCCACCAACCACCAGCAGGAGCUCCCGUCCUCGGACCUCAACUCUUGCGGCACCACCUACUUCCCCAUCACGGACGACCCCCCGAAGCCCACCGCCGAGGCCGCCGCCGCCGCCGCCGAGGAGGAGGACGACGGCUCCGACGGCGAUGACGAGGAGGACGUCACCAAGCUGCUCGAGCUGCUCUCCAGGGAGCAACUCGUGGAGCUGCUCCGCCGCGCCGCCGAGAAGAGCCCCUGGACCAUGGCGGCCGUGCGGCGCGCGGCGGAGGCCGACCCCGCCAGCAGGAAGCUCUUCGUGCACGGCCUCGCCUGGCGCGUCGGCGCCCAAGACCUCCGCUCCGCCUUCUCCCGCUUCGGCGACCUCGAGGACUGCAACGUCAUCCUAGACAAGCAAUCCCGUAAAUCCAAGGGCUACGGCUUCGUCCUCUUCCGUUCCCGCGCCGCAGCGCUCCGCGCCCUCCGCUGCCCCCAGCUCCAAAUCGCCGGCCGUCUCGCCAUUUGCCAAUUCGCCGCCUCUGGCCCUACUACCCCGCCCCCCCAGUCCCAGAACCCUAGCUCAAAUGCCCCUGCUUCCUCCUCGUCAUCCCAACCAGACAACAUUCAGCGCAAAAUCUUUGUUGGCAACGUGCAUGCUAAUGUUGAUGUUGGCCGCCUCUAUGAGUACUUCUCGCAAUUUGGUGAGAUUGAGGAGGGGCCAUUCGGUUUUGACAAGAGCACCGGCAAGCCUAAGGGGUUUGCGCUCUUCGUUUACAAGUCCGAGGAGAGUGCCAGGCGUGCACUGGAGGAGCCUAUGAAGAAUUUUGAUGGCAAGGUGCUCAAUGUGCAGAAGGCCACAGAUGGGAGGACAAAGAGCACACCAGCUGGGUCCAACUCGAAUGCCAAUUCUAGUGCUACCGCUGCUUCUUCACAAAUGACUGCGCCUUCUGUUGCCACCCCUGCCUCUGCACAAAUGACUGCACCUUUUAUUGCCGCCAUUAAUCCGUAUGAUCUAUUAACAUAUGGUGUCACUGCUGCUUCUGCACAAAUGACUGCGCCUUCUAUUGCCGCCAUUAAUCCGUAUGAUCCAUCAACAUACGGUGCUACUGCUGUUCAUGACAUGGCCGUUGCCCAGCAAGCUGCCAUGCUGGGGAUGGGUGCACAACAGCAAGCAUUUGUGCAGCCCAACGCCAGCGACAACGCUAGCUCCGGUACCCCCAACAACGCUCCUGCUUCCUCUUCGUCAUCCCAACCUGACUACAUGCAGCGCAAAGUCUUUGUUGGCAACGUGCAUGCUGAUGUUGAUGUUGACCGCCUCUAUGAGUACUUCUCACAAUUUGGUGAGAUUGAGGAGGGGCCAUUGGGUUUUGACAAGUGGACUGGCAAGCCUAAGGGGUUUGCGCUCUUCUUUUACAAGUCUGAGGAGAGUGCCAGACGGGCACUAGAGGAGCCUAUGAAGAAUUUUGAUGGCAAGGUGCUCAAUGUGCAGAAGGCUAAAGAUUGGAGGACAAAGAGCGCACAAGCUGGGUCCAACUCGAAUGCUAACUCUAGUGCCACCACUGCUUCUUCACAAAUGGCUGCGCCUUCUAUUGCCACCGCUGCUUCUUCACAAAUGGCUGCGCCUUCUAUUGCCACCGCUGCUUGUGCACAAAUGACUGCGCCUUCUAUUGCCGCCAUUAAUCCGUAUGAUCCAUCAACAUACGGGGCCAUUGCUGCUUCUGCACAAAUGACUGAGCCCUCUAUUGCCGCCAUUAAUCCAUAUGAUCCAUCAACAUACGGUGCUACUGCUGUUCAUGACAUGGCCGUUGCCCAGCAAGCUGCCAUGCUGGGGAUGAGUGCGCAGCAGCAAACAUUUGUGCAGCCCAAUACCGCAAUGCUUGCCAUGAUGGCAGCUGCGAUGCAGAACCCAACCAUGUUUGCGGCAUUAAAUCCGGCUUUUGCUGCUAUGGGUGCUGGGGGGCAACACACUGGCAUUCCUGAUUUUGGAGGUCAAGGUUUUGGGCCACAAGGAUUUGCAACUGGUGGUGUCAAUUUUCCGCCUGCAGCUGGUGGUCUUCAGGGAGCUGCAGCAUAUCAAGGAUGUCUUCCUGGUUUUCAGGGGACACCUGGGUUUCCGACAUCUGCUGGGUUUCAGGUUGGCCAAGCAGCUUCCCAAACAGAUACUACUGCAGAAGCUGCUGGUGCUACCGGUUAUCAGGCUGGGCCUGCUGGGCAGGGUCAAAUGCCCAGUUCUCAGACUGACUUUCAGGGUGGCUAUUGAUAUCACUAGGAAGAUGUUACAGCAAGCUAAAUGUCAUACUGAAAAGUGUUCUUCAAUGGGCAUAAAGGUGGUACAUUCUUUUCCUGCUCAGAAUCUGCAGUCCAUGAAGCCAAAGUUGAGCGAGAAUCACAUAUGGAAGUAUUUUCACCAGGAACGAAAAAUAUGCAGAAUUAUCUUAUGAAUUGAAUUCUGGUAUAUGUAUAUUGGGAUUUCCAUGUUAGGGAGAGGCCUGGUGCCCUUCCUCAGAUUAGAGCCGAUGAAUUACCUAUUCACCACCCUCUGACAGAAGCUACCAUUUUGUCAUAUUAUGGAAACCAUUUCCCACAUUAACCAUGCCGUCCUCCUUAGAGAUUAAAGCAUUGUGCAGA